GUGGGAAAUAGGCAGCCGCAGGAACAAAGGGGCUCAUAGAAUGUGGUGACAUCAUCUGUGAAGCGGCUGUGGCUUUUCAUAAAGCUGGAGGGUGGAGCUAAAUGCCACUGAUCCAAACUGAUGUCACUUAAAAAAAAACAACGCAUUACAGUUAUGCUCAAAGGUUUGCAUACCCUGGCAGAAAUUGUAAAACUUUGGCAUUGAUUUUGAAAAUAUGACUAAUCAUGCAAAAAAAGGUCUUUUAUUAAGGGAUAUUGAUCAUAUGAAGCCAUUUAUUAUCACGUAGUUGUUUGGC